rnacentral:misc_RNA from 1 species
GAUGAAGAACGUAGCAAAAUGCGAUAAGUAAUGUGAAUUGCAGAAUUCAGUGAAUCAUCGAAUCUUUGAACGCACAUUGCGCCCGCCAGUACUCUGGCGGGCAUGCCUGUCCGAGCGUCAUUUCAACCCUCAGGGCCCUCCAGCAGGGCGCUGGUGUUGGGGAUCGGCAGUCCCAGCGGCUGCCGUCCCUGAAAUGUAGUGGCGGUCCCACCGUGACCUCCCCUGUGCAGUACAUCGCUCGCAGAGGGACAGCGGUGCGGCCACGCCGUAAAACGCCCAACUCUUCCAGGUUGACCUCGGAUCAGGUAGGACUACCCGCUGAACUUAAGCAUAUCAAUAAGCGGAGGA